rnacentral:rRNA from 1 species
UAGGUGUGUGUUCCAGGUAAAUCCGGUUCACUUUAACACUGAGGCGUGACGACGAGGCACUACGGUGCUGAAGCAACAAAUGCCCUGCUUCCAGGAAAAGCCUCUAAGCAUCAGGUAACAUCAAAUCGUACCCCAAACCGACACAGGUGGUCAGGUAGAGAAUACCAAGGCGCUUGAGAGAACUCGGGUGAAGGAACUAGGCAAAAUGGUGCCGUAACUUCGGGAGAAGGCACGCUGACACGUAGGUGAAGUGAUUUACUCAUGGAGCUGAAGUCAGUCGAAGAUACCAGCUGGCUGCAACUGUUUAUUAAAAACACAGCACUGUGCAAACACGAAAGUGGACGUAUACGGUGUGACGCCUGCCCGGUGCCGGAAGGUUAAUUGAUGGGGUCAGCGCAAGCGAAGCUCCUGAUCGAAGCCCCGGUAAACGGCGGCCGUAACUAUAACGGUCCUAAGGUAGCGAAAUUCCUUGUCGGGUAAGUUCCGACCUGCACGAAUGGCGUAAUGAUGGCCAGGCUGUCUCCACCCGAGACUCAGUGAAAUUGAACUCGCUGUGAAGAUGCAGUGUACCCGCGGCAAGACGGAAAGACCCCGUGAACCUUUACUAUAGCUUGACACUGAACAUUGAGCCUUGAUGUGUAGGAUAGGUGGGAGGCUUUGAAGUGUGGACGCCAGUCUGCAUGGAGCCGACCUUGAAAUACCACCCUUUAAUGUUUGAUGUUCUAACGUGGACCCGUAAUCCGGGUUGCGGACAGUGUCUGGUGGGUAGUUUGACUGGGGCGGUCUCCUCCUAAAGAGUAACGGAGGAGCACGAAGGUUGGCUAAUCCUGGUCGGACAUCAGGAGGUUAGUGCAAUGGCAUAAGCCAGCUUGACUGCGAGCGUGACGGCGCGAGCAGGUGCGAAAGCAGGUCAUAGUGAUCCGGUGGUUCUGAAUGGAAGGGCCAUCGCUCAACGGAUAAAAGGUACUCCGGGGAUAACAGGCUGAUACCGCCCAAGAGUUCAUAUCGACGGCGGUGUUUGGCACCUCGAUGUCGGCUCAUCACAUCCUGGGGCUGAAGUAGGUCCCAAGGGUAUGGCUGUUCGCCAUUUAAAGUGGUACGCGAGCUGGGUUUAGAACGUCGUGAGACAGUUCGGUCCCUAUCUGCCGUGGGCGCUGGAGAACUGAGGGGGGCUGCUCCUAGUACGAGAGGACCGGAGUGGACGCAUCACUGGUGUUCGGGUUGUCAUGCCAAUGGCACUGCCCGGUAGCUAAAUGCGGAAGAGAUAAGUGCUGAAAGCAUCUAAGCACGAAACUUGCCCCGAGAUGAGUUCUCCCUGAGACUUAGAGUCUCCUGAAGGAACGUUGAAGACGACGACGUUGAUAGGCCGGGUGUGUAAGCGCAGCGAUGCGUUGAGCUAACCGGUACUAAUGAACCGUGAGGCUUAACCUUACA